rnacentral:rRNA from 1 species
UAAUACAUGCAAGUCGAGCGGACAGAAGGGAGCUUGCUCCCGGAUGUUAGCGGCGGACGGGUGAGUAACACGUGGGUAACCUGCCUGUAAGACUGGGAUAACUCCGGGAAACCGGAGCUAAUACCGGAUAGUUCCUUGAACCGCAUGGUUCAAGGAUGAAAGACGGUUUCGGCUGUCACUUACAGAUGGACCCGCGGCGCAUUAGCUAGUUGGUGAGGUAACGGCUCACCAAGGCGACGAUGCGUAGCCGACCUGAGAGGGUGAUCGGCCACACUGGGACUGAGACACGGCCCAGACUCCUACGGGAGGCAGCAGUAGGGAAUCUUCCGCAAUGGACGAAAGUCUGACGGAGCAACGCCGCGUGAGUGAUGAAGGUUUUCGGAUCGUAAAGCUCUGUUGUUAGGGAAGAACAAGUGCAAGAGUAACUGCUUGCACCUUGACGGUACCUAACCAGAAAGCCACGGCUAACUACGUGCCAGCAGCCGCGGUAAUACGUAGGUGGCAAGCGUUGUCCGGAAUUAUUGGGCGUAAAGGGCUCGCAGGCGGUUUCUUAAGUCUGAUGUGAAAGCCCCCGGCUCAACCGGGGAGGGUCAUUGGAAACUGGGAAACUUGAGUGCAGAAGAGGAGAGUGGAAUUCCACGUGUAGCGGUGAAAUGCGUAGAGAUGUGGAGGAACACCAGUGGCGAAGGCGACUCUCUGGUCUGUAACUGACGCUGAGGAGCGAAAGCGUGGGGAGCGAACAGGAUUAGAUACCCUGGUAGUCCACGCCGUAAACGAUGAGUGCUAAGUGUUAGGGGGUUUCCGCCCCUUAGUGCUGCAGCUAACGC